rnacentral:rRNA from 1 species
GAACGGGCAAGGAGCCGGGGUCGCCCGAUCGGACCCCGGACGUGAAGUCGACGAUGGUCGGUGGGCUGGUUUUGGUAAGCAGAACGGGCGAUUCGGGAUGAACCGGAAGCGGGGAGAAAGGGCCCGAGAUUGCGUCGACGCGGAUCCCGAAAAGGGCGUCGAUCCGUCGCGACAGCGGGACGGUGGUCAUGGAAGUCGAAAUCCGCUAAGAAGCGUGUAAAAACGUACCCGCCCAACGGAUCGGCCCCGAAAAUUGAUGGCGCUCGAACGCAACCCUCGAACCCCGCCGACGGAGGCUAGGGGAGGCCCCGUCGAGUAGGCGGACGCGCGGGUCGCUUCGACGCUCUCGCGCGAGCGGGGGCGGAGCGGCCCGUGGUGCAGAUCUUGGUGGUAGUAGCGAUCACCCAGGCGAG